ACCGCUUGUGGGGCUUCGGGUGCCCGGCGCGUCUGCGCCGGGAGAAUUGGAAAGUUCGGUCUGAAACCGACGCUGGCCCGCAACCGUGAAAGGGGACGAAUCCGCGUAGCCACUGCGGCAGAGCCGUGGGAAGGUGCGGAGGAGAGUGAUCCUUAAGCCGGGAAGCCAGCCCGAAGCCUGUAUCCUCAU
rnacentral:ncRNA from 17 species